rnacentral:rRNA from 1 species
CCUACGGGUGGCAGCAGUGGGGAAUAUUGGACAAUGGGCGAAAGCCUGAUCCAGCCAUGCCGCGUGUGUGAAGAAGGCCUUCGGGUUGUAAAGCACUUUCAGUGGGGAAGAAAGCCUUGGGGCUAAUACCCUCGAGGAAGGACAUCACCCACAGAAGAAGCACCGGCUAACUCCGUGCCAGCAGCCGCGGUAAUACGGAGGGUGCGAGCGUUAAUCGGAAUUACUGGGCGUAAAGCGCGCGUAGGCGGUCUGAUAAGCCGGUUGUGAAAGCCCCGGGCUCAACCUGGGAACGGCAUCCGGAACUGUCAGGCUAGAGUGCAGGAGAGGAAGGUAGAAUUCCCGGUGUAGCGGUGAAAUGCGUAGAGAUAGGGAGGAAUACCAGUGGCGAAGGCGGCCUUCUGGACUGACACUGACGCUGAGGUGCGAAAGCGUGGGUAGCAAACAGGAUUAGAUACCCUAGUAGUC